GAUGCAAUGAUGAGAUUAAAAUUUGGGAUAGGCAGUGGACGGUUCUUCUUUCUUUAGAAGCCUCGCCGUGAGCCUCUUCACCAAUAAAUACGACUUCUUCUUCCUCUGAGCUCA